rnacentral:rRNA from 1 species
GGACGAACGCUGGCGGCGUGCCUAACACAUGCAAGUCGAGCGAUGAAAUCCUUCGGGAUGGAUUAGCGGCGGACGGGUGAGUAACACGUGGGUAACCUGCCUUGUAGAGGGGGAUAGCCUUCCGAAAGGAAGAUUAAUACCGCAUAACAUCUUUUUUAUCGCAUGGUAGAAAGAUCAAAGGAGCAAUCCGCUACAAGAUGGACCCGCGGCGCAUUAGCUAGUUGGUGAGGUAACGGCUCACCAAGGCGACGAUGCGUAGCCGACCUGAGAGGGUGAUCGGCCACAUUGGAACUGAGACACGGUCCAGACUCCUACGGGAGGCAGCAGUGGGGAAUAUUGCGCAAUGGGGGGAAACCCUGACGCAGCAACGCCGCGUGAAUGAAGAAGGCCUUAGGGUUGUAAAGUUCUGUUUACGGGGACGAUAAUGACGGUACCCGUGGAGGAAGCCACGGCUAACUACGUGCCAGCCGCCGC